rnacentral:rRNA from 1 species
CCUACGGGAGGCAGCAGUGAGGAAUAUUGGACAAUGGGCGCAAGCCUGAUCCAGCCAUGCCGCGUGCAGGAAGAAGCAUCUAUGGUGUGUAAACUGCUUUUGUACAGGAAGAAACACUCCCUCGUGAGGGAGCUUGACGGUACUGUAAGAAUAAGGACCGGCUAACUCCGUGCCAGCAGCCGCGGUAAUACGGAGGGUCCGAGCGUUAUCCGGAAUCAUUGGGUUUAAAGGGUCCGUAGGCGGUUUAAUAAGUCAGUGGUGAAAUCUGGUCGCUCAACGAUCAAACGGCCAUUGAUACUGUUAGACUUGAAUUAUAAGGAAGUAACUAGAAUAUGUAGUGUAGCGGUGAAAUGCUUAGAUAUUACAUGGAAUACCAAUUGCGAAGGCAGGUUACUACUUAUGGAUUGACGCUGAUGGACGAAAGCGUGGGGAGCGAACAGGAUUAGAUACCCUGGUAGUCCACGCCGUAAACGAUGGAUACUAGCUGUUCGGAGCAAUCUGAGUGGCUAAGCGAAAGUGAUAAGUAUCCCACCUGGGGAGUACGUUCGCAAGAAUGAAACUCAAAGGAAUUGACGGCUGAGACNGCGAGACGACGACGAGGAGGAGG